UGAGCUGCCCGGCUGCUCCCAGUCCAGUUGCUGCCCUGUCUGCCUGCCCUGCUUUGAGCUGAACUGGACAAGCUGGAAGGUAUCUUGGCUUUCACUGUACUGGGGAAUAACUUCACCUUUGUGGAGAAUAAGUGGUUCCAAAAAAUCUUCCACCAACACAGAUUUUUAGAGAAGUAACAGAUGCCAAGUUUAUGUAAAAGCUAAUUACCCAUCUUCCAGAUGACCCACUUAUGGUAUGUACUGUGUCUGACAGUGAUCCCAUAAUCAUCUGGCCAAGGCACAUGCUCCUUCCAUUGUACACUCUCCUACAAAUUCUGCAGACUUUCUGAGAACCACACUUGCCUGACCACACACACUGCCUACAGCAUUGCUCAAGAGAAGUAUUAUGGAUAACAGUCUAAUGACUUUCCUUAAGUAUCUUACCAAAUAAACAUCUCUAGUAAAUCAUAUCGCAGAUUGAAAUAAACAGUAUGAAUAACUUAA